rnacentral:rRNA from 1 species
AGCAGCCGCGGUAAUUCCAGCUCCAAUAGCGUAUAUUAAAGUUGCUGCAGUUAAAAAGCUCGUAGUUGAAUUUCGGGAUCAAUAUGUUGGUCGUGCCUCGGUACGUACUAGCUUAUUGGUUUCUCCCUUCUGACGAACCAUGAUGUCAUUUAUUUGGUGUUAUGGGAAAUCAGGACUGUUACUUUGAAAAAAUUAGAGUGUUUAAAGCUGGCUCACGCUUGAAUACAUUAGCAUGGAAUAAUGAAAUAGGACGUUUGAUUCUAUUUUGUUGGUUUCUAGGAUCGACGUAAUGAUUAAUAGGGAUAGUUGGGGGCAUUAGUAUUCAAUUGUCAGAGGUGAAAUUCUUGGAUUUAUUGAAGACUAACUACUGCGAAAGCAUUUGCCAAGGAUGUUUUCAUUAAUCAAGAACGAAAGUUAGGGGAUCGAAGACGAUCAGAUACCGUCGUAGUCUUAACCAUAAACUAUGCCGACUAGGGAUCGGAUGAUGUUAAUUUUUUUAAUGACUCAUUCGGCGCCUUAC